UUCCACCUUCAGUAUGGAAACCAUACUGGGUCUGGGUCGAGUAGGGCUAAUAAAGGGAGGAGUAGAUAGCAGUAGGCGGAUGGACAGACUGACCGAUACAGCCUCGCUAAUAGCGCAGCUACACGCGAUUUGCAAGGCGAGGUCUCCCCGAAUUAGUGCCUGAAUUUCCUAUCGAUCCGCUGGCGGUUCCAUUCAUCUCUGACAAGUCCCUCGCGCACCCGCCCUCCAGCUCCCCACGCCUCCUCUCUCACCCCCACCCCUCCCCAUCCAGCUGCACAGAAACGCCCCAAGCUCCGCGCCCCUCUCCCCCAACGGGUCCCCCUUUCAAGGCGGAGCACCCUGCCCGCCCGACCCUGCACUGCUCCUCCAUCCCCAGCAGGCAAAGGCAGGCGGCCUGAGCUGCCUCCCUCGCCGCCGGGCGGAACGGAGAGAGGAGCCUACGGAAAGCAGAGGAUGUUGGCAGUCAGGAGGCCGGGCUGGAGGGGCUACGCCGGGAUCCCCGACUUCCGAGGGACUCCGGGCGUCGCGCCCUGUCCAGCGCCCCAGAAGGCCUUCGGGUCGCAACCUGCUGGUUCUGGUGCGCUCCCUUGGAUCCGGGCGGGCGAGGAAGGGGGUCGCCCCACAGGACAGCCCUAUGUAAAUCCCGGUGCUGGGUGGGUGGGUGGGGAGGGGGAAGCGAAGAAGGGGAAGUAAACCUCUUUGGCUGGAGUGGGGUCCGGGUGAGCAGAUUUCCUUAUCCGGGAAUCGCAGGCGGGGCGGCCAUUGGCUCGGAGGAUCACGUGGGGCCCUAACUUUGUUCACUUGACAGUAAAGUAGGAGGGCUUUCGGAAACAGGAAAACGAGUCAGGGGUCGGAAUAAAUUUUAGUAUAUUUUGUGGGCAAUUCCCAGAAAUUAAUGGCUAUGAGUUCUUUUUUGAUCAACUCCAACUAUGUCGACCCCAAGUUCCCUCCCUGCGAGGAAUAUUCACAGAGCGAUUACCUACCCAGCGACCACUCGCCCGGGUACUACGCCGGCGGCCAGAGGCGAGAGAGCAGCUUCCAGCCAGAGGCGGGCUUCGGGCGGCGCGCGGCUUGCACCGUGCAGCGCUACGCGGCCUGUCGGGACCCAGGGCCCCUGCCGCCGCCGCCUCCGCCGCCGCCCCCACCCGGGCUGUCCCCUCGGGCUCCCGCGCCGCCACCCGCCGGGGCCCUCCUCCCGGAGCCCGGCCAGCGCUGCGAGGCGGUCAGCAGCAGCCCCCCGCCGCCUCCGUGCGCCCAGAACCCCCUGCACCCCAGCCCGUCCCACUCCGCGUGCAAAGAGCCCGUCGUCUACCCCUGGAUGCGCAAAGUUCACGUGAGCACGGUAAACCCCAAUUACGCCGGCGGGGAGCCCAAGCGCUCUCGGACCGCCUACACUCGCCAGCAGGUCUUGGAGCUGGAGAAGGAGUUCCACUACAACCGCUAUCUGACACGGCGCCGGAGGGUGGAGAUCGCCCACGCGCUCUGCCUGUCCGAGCGCCAGAUCAAGAUCUGGUUCCAGAACCGGCGCAUGAAGUGGAAAAAAGACCACAAGUUGCCCAACACCAAGAUCCGCUCGGGUGCCACCGCGGGUGCCGCUGGAGGACCCCCAGGCCGACCCAACGGCGGCCCGCCGGCGCUCUAGGGCCACUCCCCACCUCCCCCGGCUGCCACCACCAUCGCCAGGCGGGAGCCGUGGACCUCGGGGCAGGGGUGGGCAGCGAGCGCAGGGGGAGGGGAUGGGGGGCCUGGGCCCCGAGAAGCCUCCCUUUGCCCUUCUCCCCUGCCCCCACCCCCACUUUAUCCGAGUAGGAAUGAGCGCAGAGAAAGCUUUAUUUAUAGAAAUGACAAUAGGGAGCCGGGCGAGCCCCCUCCCACCCCAUCCCCCACCAGAGACAAGGUUCAAGUCUCUUGCUUUCUUCCUUUAAAAAAAAAAUGCAAGAAGAAGGGAAGAAGGAAGACAGAGAGAGACAGAAAGAGAAAUAGGAGGAGGCUCCAGCUUCUGUUUCCGGCUUUGGCGAAGAUGGAUCCACGUUUCAUCCUUAAUCACGCCAGGCCCCGGCCCAUCUGUCUUGUUUACUCUGCCGAGGAGAGGACCGGCCUCGGCGGCCACCAUUACCUCGACACCCGCUAACAAAUGAGGCCAGGCCUGCCGCCGCCUCUGCUGCUGCCGCUCCUCCAAGACUGCCUGGAUUUCCCUUCUUUGUCCCCUAGUCCCGACACCCAGCGCCAGCACCCUCUGCCUGCCAGAUAGCGCCGUGUUUUUGGCCACGCAAAUCUCCGCAGACCGGCUGUUGGGGGAAAAAAGUGUUAGCCGCUUCUCCCGGAUCUGCGAGGGGGAAAAAAUUUGGAGCCAUAAAGUUGAAAACUUUUUUCUCUCAGUUUGGAAGAAGCCGCUCGCCAUGA